GAGGGUAUAGCUCAGUGGUAGGACAUGUGCUUAGCAUGCAUGAGGUCCUGGGUUCAAUCCCCAGUUCCUCCA
rfam:Camelus ferus unplaced genomic scaffold scaffold223, whole genome shotgun sequence.